rnacentral:rRNA from 1 species
AGUCUGAUGGAGCACGCCGCGUGAGUGAAGAAGGGUUUCGGCUCGUAAAACUCUGUUGUUAAAGAAGAACAUAUCUGAGAGUAACUGUUCAGGUAUUGACGGUAUUUAACCAGAAAGCCACGGCUAACUACGUGCCAGCAGCCGCGGUAAUACGUAGGUGGCAAGCGUUGUCCGGAUUUAUUGGGCGUAAAGCGAGCGCAGGCGGUUUUUUAAGUCUGAUGUGAAAGCCUUCGGCUCAACCGAAGAAGUGCAUCGGAAACUGGGAAACUUGAGUGCAGAAGAGGACAGUGGAACUCCAUGUGUAGCGGUGAAAUGCGUAGAUAUAUGGAAGAACACCAGUGGCGAAGGCGGCUGUCUGGUCUGUAACUGACGCUGAGGCUCGAAAGUAUGGGUAGCAAACAGGAUUAGAUACCCUGGUAGUCCAUACCGUAAACGAUGAAUGCUAAGUGUUGGAGGGUUUCCGCCCUUCAGUGCUGCAGCUAACGCAUUAAGCAUUCCGCCUGGGGAGUACGGCCGCAAGGCUGAAACUCAAAGGAAUUGACGGGGGCCCGCACAAGCGGUGGAGCAUGUGGUUUAAUUCGAAGCUACGCGAAGAACCUUACCAGGUCUUGACAUACUAUGCAAAUCUAAGAGAUUAGACGUUCCCUUCGGGGACAUGGAUACAGGUGGUGCAUGGUUGUCGUCAGCUCGUGUCGUGAGAUGUUGGGUUAAGUCCCGCAACGAGCGCAACCCUUAUUAUCAGUUGCCAGCAUUAAGUUGGGCACUCUGGUGAGACUGCCGGUGACAAACCGGAGGAAGGUGGGGAUGACGUCAAAUCAUCAUGCCCCUUAUGACCUGGGCUACACACGUGCUACAAUGGAUGGUACAACGAGUUGCGAACUCGCGAGAGUAAGCUAAUCUCUUAAAGCCAUUCUCAGUUCGGAUUGUAGGCUG